rnacentral:rRNA from 1 species
CAGCCGCCGCGGUAAUACAGAGGGUGCGAGCGUUAAUCGGAUUUACUGGGCGUAAAGCGUGCGUAGGCGGCUUCUUAAGUCGGAUGUGAAAUCCCUGAGCUUAACUUAGGAAUUGCAUUCGAUACUGGGAAGCUAGAGUAUGGGAGAGGAUGGUAGAAUUCCAGGUGUAGCGGUGAAAUGCGUAAAGAUCUGGAGGAAUACCGAUGGCGAAGGCAGCCAUCUGGCCUAAUACUGACGCUGAGGUACGAAAGCAUGGGGAGCAAACAGGAUUAGAUACCCCCGUAGUCCCUGUCUCUUAUAC